CUCAUUCUCUCUGUGUAUGUAUGUAAGCAUGCGAUAUUCAUGCCAUUUGCCUUUCAUACGUCUCAUACAUUUGUUGUACAGCUGACACAAGAGAUUUACUAUGCUUAAUAAAAUAAUGUGCCAGUGGCUAUGAUGCCUAGUGAUAGUUCCCUACAGUGGCUUAUUUAGCUCUAUCUAAAAUUGUACAAGUAGAAUUUUCCCAUUAUUUCCGCUUAUGUAUCAUGCUUGCAUAAAUAAGUAUUGCAAGUGGAGUUCCCUGAAAAUAUGGCCAUAAAACUCUGAAGAUUUGGAUGACUGUAAAACUCUGAAGAUUUGGAGUCUAAUUUAACUUUGAAUAUCAUUUUUAAUUCUUCAACGAUUUUAUCUUUUUCCCAUAUUCUUGGUUUACCUACG
rnacentral:misc_RNA from 1 species